CCCUUAUCUUUCAAAUUCCCGUGCCAGAUCGAGAUGCGAAAUCUCCCGUUACCGCCCCUUCUUUAUGGGUAUUGGAUGAUGUCCUCAUUGAGUUAGGAUGAACUCAGAUGAUGCAAUAUGUAGUGGGGGACUACUUUGCUUCUUCUUUUCACGUUCGUGUUUUGGUCCGUCACCUGUGUUCGUUUCAAUCGAGCGUCCACUGGUGGCUGCUCAGGCCGGGAAAGAAAAGAUGCAUUUCAUUGGUCGAGGAUGUGUCAUCCUAGAGCUAUCAAUGCAAAAUUCUGGAAAGCUUGCAUUGCAUAUAUCUGGGAAUACAUGGACAAGACACGACAAAAUAUAUCUGAGCUGAACUUUAUUGUUGUAGAA